GGUAGGGUGGCCGAGCCAGGUGAUAAACUGUAAAUUUAUAGACGAAAUUAUUUUCCCCUAUCA
rnacentral:tRNA from 1 species